rnacentral:lncRNA from 1 species
GUAAACUCAAAAAAAGCAUUUCAUUAAAAAAAGGCAUUUCAAAGCACUUUUCCUAGUGCUGAUAUUUAAGAAAGACAGAGAAGGGAAAAUAUUAAGGCCUGGGAUUAAUGAGAUUUAUAAUCUAGUAGGAGAAGGAAAAUAAACCCACAUGGAUAUGUGUGUGAAAAGGACAACCAUACAGUAUAUUACUGAAAUAAAUUAAAACCCUAACAUCAGGAAGAGUGCUCACUUUGGCAGCACAGAUGCUAAAGUCAGGAAGAAAGUUUUUUCUUUCUGUCUCAGCCACCUCUACUCUCCACUUACAGAUACAGCUUACCUGACAAACAUCCUAAAGCUUAAUUGGUACCAUUUCCUUCCUGGCAUCUUGAGCACAGCAAAAUAUAUUCUCCACUAUCCUAGCAACUUCUAGUCAAGAUUCUCAUCUAAUAUGAUUCUUAUAUAAAUAUUCAGUGCCCUUAGAAUUUAAAAUAAUGGCUGUGAUUUGGCAGAUCAGUAGUGUUAUUUUCUAGACAUAUUUUGCCCACAGUAUUUUUUCCACACAGUCCUCCAUGCCAUCAGAUAUGAUGCCAACCUCAGAAGCAAAAGUUACUUUCACUUCAUUCGGACAUAACUUCUCAUCUUUUCUAAGUAGCAUCCUUUAGUUUUGUGAAUAUCUUUAUUCCAUUUUAGAGACCCAUCUUCUUCCCAUUAUGGUUGAUAGUAUUCAUAAUUAAUUGAAGGUGAAUGUAUGUUACAAACAGAAAUUUCUUUUUUUUAUGAUAGUCACACAGAGAGAGAGAGGCACAGGCAGAGGGAGAAGCAGGCUCCAUGCACCGGGAGCCCGACGUGGGACUCGAUCCCCAGUCUCCAGGAUCGCAACCUGGGCCAAAGGCAGGCGCCAAACCGCUGCGCCACCCAGGGAUCUCCACAAACAGAAAAUUCUUUAGAACUCUGGAGAGGCAAUCAUUCAUCAUAUAGACAGGAGCAACACCACAUGGAAAGGUCUUCCCUGAACCUCCAGUUCCCCCCAAAAGAAGAGAACUCAAGGGGACAAUCAGCACCACCACCACUGCAGAUUACUUCAUGAGAGCCCCUACUCUGGUCUCGUGCCAUGAGAAUUGCAGGGGAAACUGUGAGGCUUGCAAUAACCAACACACAGAUCUUGGCAGAUGCAAUUCAUGACUACAACUCCCAAGUGAUUAGUAAUCCAAGUAGUGGCUCCAACCAGCAGCUUUGCUCAUCACCAGAACCAAGUCUGGGACAAACUGUGACCAGAGAACUCACUGGAGUACAUAUCUGCUUGAUUUGGGUUCUCAUACAAGUUUUGCUGACUCUAGAAACUGUAUCCAAGCAAGGAGUUGUAGCUCCAUUUGCUGGGGAAACUGUCUUCUGGUCCAUCUUGCCAGAGGGCACUGACAAGAAAACCUAAAAGCUGUAUAGCUCAGCAAUACUCCAACCAAGAGGUGUGUGGGUGGUUCGGACAGUCCCCGAGGCAAAGCCAGUACAGGGUAUGAAAAAUUCCCCUGCUGCACCCAGGCAGGGGAAUUAAUUCACAGCGAAGGCUGAGGGUGCAUCAUGGCCUCACCCAUAAGAAAAACUCGUUUGGGGAACAUGUGAGCAAGGCCAGGAGGCACCCCUCCCAACCCCACCCAAGCAAGUAACCUGAAACACAGCCACACCCACUGUGGCUCCCAGGCCCCAUCUGACCAGAAGGGCUGGCAAGGAUAUCUGGAAGCUCUGUAACCAACAAUGUGUAAGCCAAUAAGCAGAAAGGCAGAGCUAACUGUCUAGAGCAAAGCCAGUACCAGGUGUCGAGGGGUGGCCUGCUGUACCUAGGCAGAGGAAUUAACUCAUAGCCAAGGUAGAGAGUAGCUUCUGGCUCUUACUGAGUCAAAAGACAGAAAAGCAGAGAAGCCUGGAGCAGCACCUCUCCAUCCCAUUCAGAAAAGGGAACUAAAACAGCCCCACCACUGAGGAUAGCAUCUCCCAGCCCCACCUGACCAGAAGGGCUGGUGAAAAAAGGGAGCUACAAAAAGCCAGCAAUACUGUAGCCAAGAGACAGACAGGCAUAUACAACAGUGAGCAGAACAAAGCCAGUGGCUCAUAUUUGGCCAGGGAACUUGGGACACAGGUCAGGAUAAGAUAACACACAAAGAGCUUUAUUGCCUUUAAAGGUGCCCCUCCCACUGCUCCUGGGCAGAGAAACUAAUUCACGGCCCCAAUUAUAUUAAUAUAGCCUUCAGCUUUUGUGACCUGGGAACCUAACAAGACCACAUGGGGAGCUGCUGUACAGGCCAUCCAAAAGCUCUGCUUCUAGCUGCACUUGAAAAGAGAGAACAGCCCAUGGCUUUCUACAUCUGCAGAGCAGAUGACCAAGAAAUUCAGUGCACACUCUUGUGUUGAUUCAGGUACCCUCAAAUGAGCCAUGCGGACACUGGGUCCUCCCCUGUAGUGAAGGGAAAUGAAUUUACAGCCCUGUCUACUAAAUAUAGUACCCAGUCCAGACCAUCUAGUAAGCCAGAUGGAAAAUUCAUGCAACUGGGGGGGGGGCCCAUCCUACAGAUUUCCACCUCUUUCCCUAUACCCAAACUUAGAGCUUGGAAAGUUGCCUUGCCAAAAACUAGACCAUAAUAGCGGGUACCACCUGCCCAGUGACCUAAACUGAGGUGACUAUUGAAGAUCUAUCUCUGCCAAAGCAAAUCUAUAGAGUCUAGAAGAGGAGCCAAAUUAUUCAAGUGUGCAGAUACCAAUGUAAGAAAUCAAAGAUAACAAAAUCCAAGUAAAUAUGAGACCAUCAAAGGAAACUAAUAGGGACGCCUGUGUGGCUCAGUGGUUGGGCACCUGCCUUUGGCUCAGGGUGUGAUCCUGGAUUCCCAGGUUCAAGUCCCGCAUCAGGCUCCUUGCAUGCAGUCUGCUUGUGUCUCUGCAUCUUUCUCUCUCUCUCUCUCAUGAAUAAAUAAAUAAAAUCUUAAAAAAAAGGAAUCUAAUAAAGUUCUAAAAACUGACCCUAAAAAAAUGAAGAUCUAGGAACUAUCAGAUUUAUAAUAAUUUUCUUAACUUUAGGUAACUACAAUAACAUAUAGACAAUUAAAUGAAAUUAGGAAAAUAAUCCAUGAAAACAACAAGAAGUUUGACAAAGAAAUAGCAACCAGAAAAAAAACAACAAACCCAGAAAUAAAGAGAAAUCCUAGAGUUAAAAAAAAUAGUAAUUGAGCUGAAGUAGUUAAUAGAAUUUCAAAAGUACACUUAGCCAUGCAGAAGGAAAGAAUUAGUGACCUAAAAAUAUAAGACAUAGAAAAAUUAUCCAGUCAGAGAAACAAAAAGAUAAAAUAAGAAAGAGUGAAAAAAUCCUAAGGGACUCAUAAAUACAAUGGGAAUUCCAGGAAAAGAGAAUGAGAAAGGGCAGAAGCAAACUGAAAGCAAUAGUGGUUAAACAUUUCCCAAACCUGGGAAGAGAAAUGAACAUACAGAACCAUAAGGCUCAAAAGACUUGAAAUAGGCUGACUUUGAAAAAGGCUGUACCUGAAAUAGGCUGACUUUGAAAAAAGCUGUACCAAGAAGGAUCAAUUAAAUUGUCAAAGCCAAAGAAACCAUUUUAAAAGCAUUAAGGAAAAAAGAGAAAAGUACAUACACGGGAACUUCUAUGACUAUAAGCAGAUUUCUCAACAAAGACUUUUUAGGGCAGGACAAAAUGGGAUGACAUAUUCAAAAUAUUGAAGAAUAAUUAAGAAUUCUAUACCCAGCAGAGCUGUCCUUUAGAAAUGGAGAAAUAAAGACUUUUCCAAACAAAAGAUGAGGGAGUUCAUUACCACUACACCUGCCUUCUAAGAAACACUAAGGGAAUUAAGGGAAUUCUGAGUAAAAGUAAAACAUAAGCCUUAUAAAAAUAUAAAAAGAAAGUAUAGGGAUGCCUGGGUGGCUCAGUGGUUGAGCGUCUGCCUUUGUGGUCCAGGGCAUGAUCCUGGAGUCCCGGGAUCAAGUCCCACAUCAGGCUCCCUGCAUGGAGCCUACCUCUCUGUCUAUGUUUCUGCCUCUCUCUCUCUGUGUCUCUCAUGAAUAAAUAAAUAAAGUUUAAAAAAAGAAAGUAUAAAACUCACUGGUAAUAGUAAACAGUUAAGGUUAGAUUCUGUAAUAUGGUGAUGGUGGUACAUCAUUCACUUACAACUCUAGUUUAAAAAGUUAAAAUAAUAAAAGU